GAGAAGAAAGAUGCAAACAAAAAAUGUUUAGGAUAAUUCGAUGUUAAAUUAAUUUUUAGGUAGAAAAGUAUUUUGAAUAUGAGUCUGACUAUGAAUAUCUUGUAAAUCUGACUUCAUUUUUUCUGCAUUAAUAUACAGCUUUGUGAUAAAUCUCUAGUCAUUUGGGCUUUUCAUUGAUACCUUUAAUUUAAUUUACUUUGCUUUAAACAUUAUGUUACAUAGGUUUGUUAAUUUUGUUUACUUCAAUGUUUUCCUUGAUGCAUUAUGUGAACUUAACAUUCAAUUUUGCCUGCCUAUUAAAAACUUUUCUUUCAGUACUGGUUUUUUACGAACAUUAUAAUCUUUUUUUUAUUUGAUAUCUCUAUAUUUAUCCUUAAAAAAUGCAUUUUUAUUGGUUUUAAAUGAUCUGACUAAAUUUUGCUGUCAAUUUGAAAUCUAAAAGCAUUCCGGUCUUGAUUCAUAUUCAUGUUCUGCAAUAUGGUAUAUAUGAUAGAUAUUAAAACCACAUUAAACCACU
rnacentral:sRNA from 1 species